AGGGUUGACUGACAGCGUGAUCCACCAACCACAGCUUAGAUAUUUUAAGUCCUGCCUUUCUUUCAUCAAUUUAAUAUUCAUUCACCUGUUUAUUUAUUUUACAGGGAUUAAGUAGAGAAAGCAUGCAACAUUGUUAUCCUGAAAGUAUCCCAAAAUAUGGUUUACUUCCUUCUGAACCUUGAUAAAGCAUUGUUUUAAUGAAAAGUUACAAACUGCAUCUUCCAGGUGAAACAGAUCAAGGGUUUGUGGUUCUUUCAUUGGACUGAGCUGCAUCUCCUUUUUGCUUUAUGCUUGUGACUCCCACCACUUUUUAAGAAGAGCAACAUGAGGAAAAGGAAAAACUUUUCAGGGUGGAUGCAUUAUCAAGUAAAGAUCUUAGCUGUUGAUCGAUGUGUCACUCACUUGAACGUCUACUACUGAUCAUUGUUCUGGGAUGCCUGUGGAUUGUGUCCUGUUUGGUUGGUGUGUUCAGUGUGAAACAUUGUCUUCACUCAAAGAUUCAUUGCAAGAGCUUGUAAGAGCUUGUGGGUUUGAAUCUGUUUUGAAACCGACUGUAUGAGGCACAAAGGUGGGAUGAGGGGCAAAUAGUUUGGGAAAUAGUUUGAAGAUUAAGUUUGAUUUUAAAAACUCCAGAAACAGUGUAGCUGCUCAGUUUUUGUUCUAUGGAGUCAAAA